rnacentral:rRNA from 1 species
UGAGGAAUUUUCGUCAAUGGGGGCAACCCUGAACGAGCAACGCCGCGUGCAGGAUGACGGUUUUCGGAUCGUAAACUGCUUUUCUCUGGGACGAGAACGGACGGUACCAGAGGAACAAGCCCCGGCUAACUACGUGCCAGCAGCCGCGGUAAUACGUAGGGGGCGAGCGUUGUCCGGAGUUAUUGGGCGUAAAGCGCACGCAGGCGGUCAGAUCAGUCUGAAGUGACAGUCGUCGGCUUAACCGACGAAGUGUUUUGGAUACUGUCUGACUUGAGGGCUUCAGAGGGACACGGAAUUCCGGGUGGAGUGGUGAAAUGCGUAGAUAUCCGGAGGAACACCGAUGGCGAAGGCAGUGUCCUGGGAAGCAUCUGACGCUCAGGUGCGAAAGCUAGGGGAGCGAACAG